GACGAACGCUGGCGGCGCGCUUAACACAUGCAAGUCGAGCGAGAACCAGCCCUUCGGGGCUUGGGGACAGCGGCGAACGGGUGAGUAACACGUGGGUAAUCUGCCCUUGACAUCGGGAUAGCCCGGGGAAACCCGGAUUAAUACCGAAUAGCCUCCGGAGCCUUCGGGCGCCGGAGAAAAGGUAGCUUCGGCCUCUGGUCAAGGAUGAGCCCGCGGCGGAUUAGCUCGUUGGCGGGGUAACGGCCCACCAAGGCGACGAUCCGUAGCUGGUCUGAGAGGACGAUCAGCCACACUGGGACUGAGACACGGCCCAGACUCCUACGGGAGGCAGCAGUGGGGAAUCUUGCGCAAAUGCGGGAAACCGUGACGCAGCGACGCCGCGUGGGAGAAGAAGGCCUUCGGGUUGUAAACCUCUUUCAGGAGGGACGAAGCUACUCGGGUUAACAGCCCAGAGGGUGACGGUACCUCCAGAAGAAGCCCCGGCUAACUACGUGCCAGCCGCCGCCGUAAUAC
rnacentral:rRNA from 1 species